ACGCGCGAAUAAUUGCAGAGGAAUUAGGGGAAUUCACUGCGAGUUACGUCGAUUUCAAGAAUAGUUCUUGAGAUUUUGCGAUCUUUGAUGGUACAAGGUAAUGAGAUCGUUGGAAGAUAACGAAUUUCUGAGAAACCAGAGUUGAUAAAGUUACCAAUUCGUGAUUUUUUAUAGAAAUUUUACAAAUUUUACAAACGACGCAUUUUUCGUAAUUUGAAUGAUCUUCUAUCCUUGUAUUUGAUCACGGACCUGAAAUAUGCGUGUUCCUUCAAAACUUUAAAAAUAUUGCUCUCCGUAAUAUUAAAAUAUCAUUUGUGCUAAUAACGAUAAUGAUUAUAAUUAUCAAUUAUUUUAAAAAGACUUACAUCCUUAUAUGUAACAGCUUCUAUCAGUUUUCAAUUAUGUCGUAUUAAAAUUCUUCUAUUUAACCAGAAGGCGAUAUUAGGAUUAGAAAUUCAACAAGGAUAUCCUAUUAUAUUUUCUCCUGUGAUCUUCAUAUACUUCUUACAUAACUUCUAAUACUAAAGUUAAAGUAUUAUGUAAUUGUGGAAAAUUACAGAAGUAAUUUGCAAAUACCUUCUAAGAACAACAUUGUUUCUUUGAUUGCUCACUAAUCUAUGUAAAAUUUUGAAAAUACGGGUAUUAUGGAACCUUCAGCGCGUUAAAUAUUCACUCGUACAAACAAACGCUUUAUCGCUGACCUCCGAGAGGAUUGCGAGUAUGUUGCCACUAGAUAAUUAGUCACUUCUGCACGCUGAAGCUUUCACCCAUUUAUUUAGGGAAAGGUUACGAUGAAUGUUUCGCCUGGAGCGCAAGUCGGAAUGCCAUCGAUUUCAAUCGUCCCUUUUUUCUUUGCCUGAGAUUUCGAUCAAAUUAUAUAACGAGGCUUAUUUGUCCGCGUACCCGAAUAAUGGGAGAGGCGGAUUUCUUAAGCGCACGUGGACCGAUCGAAGGUCUUUCCAGAAAAAAAGAUCGGUUCACGAAUAAUAUAACUUCGAAAACCUUCAGAAUUGAUUUCAGAUGCGAUUUCAGAUCGAUUCGCAAUAAAACAGGAAUACGCUAAAGAAAGCCCUUCGUUGACAAAAAAAUCCAAUUAGUCAAGAUCUAGCUGAUCUGUUAACAAUGGUUAUUUGUUAACACUAGAACUACCAAUUAAAAUGAUUGGUAUCAAAUUUUUUCUCUUUGUAAUUAUUGAAAAAUAUUGUAAUUUUAAUUUUUACUUUCAUCGAAGCAGAAACACGAUUACGUAUAUGUACUUAUUUAUUUAGUUCUAAUUAACUAUAUUUAACAUGUUUUGGAUGCAUGGUGAAGGUCAGUAAUUCUAGUUUAAUCAGUCUAAUCGUGCAAAAAGGUGCACGUUGUUUCAUCUCUAUAUAAAAUAAAUUGUAUAAUGCUUAUGAAUAAUUAAAUUACAUAUAUCGUACUAACAUACUUUGGGAGAAUUAAAAUCAAACUACUUGAAACUGUUUUGUUUUCGUGAAUUUUUAAUUUCACGAUUAUAGAAAGUGAUUAACAAAUUAAUUCGGCAGAGCAUAAGAUUAAAACAAUGUGGAUCAGGAAGAUGAGUCGCCUCUUAUCUAUCCGAGACGCGACGAGAGACGAGACAGGAACACGAGUCACGUGCAAAUUUUUGUAGGAAACCAGGCCCGCAUGUUUUUCAUGUGCUAUCUGACACCCUAACUGCGGAGAAUUUGAUUUCUUAGACAGUCUAGGUCUAGGUAGACAGUGCUUAUACAGCGACUGCGAUGCGUCGUAGGAAAUGGAAGUUAAAAAACGGAGAUAAACAGUCCUUGAUCAACGUCUACAAGGAGAGUUUCUUCUUGAUCGAUCGUUUCGAUCAAACAAACAAGAUACGUCCAUUCUAUUAGGUCAUUCUCCUAGUAUGUGAGAUAUUUUUAAGCCAUUUAUUUUUUGGAGAACGUACGCCCUUCGAAACUCGACAUUUUUAUUUGAAUAAAAUUUGUUGAUGUUCAAUACACGCCUUCGUCAAUCUGCUCGGAGAAAAGAAAUUCGAAGGAAAGGUAAAAAUUCAAGAAGCAUGAGGGACGAAGCGAAGAAUCGAUAACAAAUUGAUAGGAUUUUUGUAAGGUUUGCGACCCCUUGUUGAGCAAAAGAAGAUCGUUGCCCUUCUUAACUAAAAUGCCCCAUCCACCAUAUCGAAAUUGAAGAAAACGAAAAUUUUAUACCAUCUUUGUUUUUCUUCGUUCGAUUAAAAAUAUUGAACCUGUAUAUCUUCCGACGUUCCUUAAAGGUGCAAAACGCAGGGAGCUUCAAAUAUUUCAACGUACCUUGAAAAAUGAGUAAGAUGCUGAAUUUCAGCUAAGGAAAACAAAUCAGUUUGUAGGUAUUUUAGAGAAAGGAGAUGCGAGUUACUACAGACAUAAUUAAAUUACUGUUUAAAGUAAGAAUAGAGAUCGGAUUCAGGAUGAUCUAAGAAUUUCCCCCGACCAUCAGUUUUUCCUUAAUCGUCCGAUAAAUCCCCGAGAAUGUUCUUUCUAAGAAUAGAGAAAACGAGUAGACUGAAAUUAUUUCAAGAUAGAUGGGUGCGUCAAACGAACGAUUGACGUACGUUCCCGCCACUCAGGCGCAAUUUGCAUUUUUCGGAGCUAUCCGCUUCGCCGAACUGUCUACGGCCUUGAUAAUUCUACACACCUCCUCUAUUUUCCUGCUCUACGUAGUAGAAGUUAAGCAAGCCAGUUUUAGGUUCCUGGCACGGGGCCAAGCCCGUUGAGAAUAGCGAAAUCCGAAGAGCAUAACUUGUGGAUAAACAUCGGCGUUACACAUGCUUCUCAGCAUCAGCGCGGUGCAGCACGUCGCGGCAUCACGUUGCCUCCCGGAUCGAAAGAUCGUCUCCAAGGAACCUCCAGUGCGAGAAUUCACCAAUCUUGUCCUCUAACUAUGCCGUCGUUAGCUUAUUCCUUAGUAGGUUAAACAAAAAUUUCGUGGAACGCGGUUGUCGUCGAUGAACCAUAUUACAAUUUUAAUCGAAUUUGGACGUUUUUAUUUAAUGCAUUAUGAGAACAACGAUGUAUAGUAAUUACAAUUUCUAAAAAGAGGAAGCGACUGUACGAAGAUGUUUUCAAUGUUCUCUCAUUUUCCAACUUAUUUUCGUUCACGGUAAUUCAUCAAAAUUUAUGAAAGAGAUAAGUACGAGGAUAAAGCAGUUGAUAUAUUGACAACCAAUUGAUACAAUUCUCGUAAGGUUCGAAACAAAUUGUCCCUCUUAAUUAAAAUAGCGCAUUAACGAUUCCAGUUGGAGAUCAUACAGUGGCGCACGAAAGUAUUGGAAUAAUUUCAUUUAACAUUGGCCGGCUCAAAAUUAGGUUCACUCAUUCACUCGUAUUAAAUUGAUAAUAAUAUCGUAUUUAUCUUUGUCAUCUUUUUUUUUGUGUGUUUGUAGAAAACGAUUUAUGAAAACACAACCUUAAUUAAAGAUUCGAAAGUCGCUGAACGUAACAAAUUGAAAAGAUACAGAGAGUCUGGGAAUGCGAUGCCGGAAGAUAAAAAACAACGUUGACUGCACUACGAUCGGAGACUCGCCGGAUUCUGGUACAUGGAUCUGGUUCAGCCGAACGUAUCGUAUCUGAUCCAAGUGAACAGCGUGAUUCCCACAGAGGAAUUCAACGCGCGGAAAUGCGUAGUUGCUGGCCACGAUGGAAACAGUAAACCAGAUGGCCAGCCAGUCCUAGAAGAUGAGAACCGAAGAAAAUUGAAGAUUCUUCCGAGGCAUCUUCCUGUUCCUCUUAUUUCGCGCGAUUCUGCUGGAACAUUUAAAAAAGAAGAAUCCCCGAAAUGCCAACGACAGAGCCAGGAACAAGUUUCGUUGCGACGAUCGUUUCGACGAAAUCCUGAACGAUUUAUCAUCGACGACUCCGAUUUAAAUAACGCCGUGUGGCGAUUGUAAUGCAUUUUUAAUUGGAAUAUUCGUGUCCUGUGACUUCAAAUUAGUCGUGAAUGAUCGGCCUCAUUGAUAUUCUUCGAUACUCUUCAGGAAUUGCAUCGAUUUAAAUCCCUUCUCGACACUCGCAAUGCAUUUUUAAUUCGAUUCUUGAAUUAUUCCUGCAUUAUUAAAAAGUAUCGAUAAUGUUUGAUACGGGAUGAGAGAAGGGAAAUGCAAGUACGCAUUAAAAUUGGAAUGCUCAUGUUCCUCUGUUCGUGGUCUCGGGCACGUCUCGUCGGAAUGCGACGAAUCCGAUCCGUCGUCUUUCGUCGCAGCACGCGACUUUUCUCCGGAGGCGGGAAGAGUCGGAUUCCGCCCUUUAUCAUCUCUGCGUCAGUUCCUAUGUUCUGUUAUCUGGAGUGGCGAUCAUCUUCCGAAAGCUUGGUAGCCGCUGGAAAUUAAUCUCCGCACUGGACACGCGUUGAAUCGACGGGUAGGAACAAUUUGUGCUCUGACAGCGAAUUUAUUUUAUCUCUGAUCUCCGACUAACCAGCCUGCAUCCUAUAAAUUACCAUCUAAUACGAAAUGCUGCUUUUUAUAUUAAAUUUAUCGAUCGGGACAAGAAGAUCGAUAAUGACGGACGGCAAUAAUAAGUAAUAUUUCCUUUAAAAAAAAAAGGGGGAAAUGUUUGAAAAAUACGAAAGUCCGAAAGGUCUACUACUGCACAAUAAUACAUGACUAAUUUAUUACGCGUGUUAUAUGAAACAUUUUGAAGUAUCAUUAGCAUUGCAACCAGACACAUUAUUAUAUUGGAUAAAAUUUGAAACCGUUCUGAAAAAUUGUACAAGUUACAAUAUAUUUAUUACAAGCACGUGCUUUGCAAAAUAUUACCAAAGCGUUUGAACAGUCAACUGUUAAUCAUUUGGUUGGUAAAAAUGAAAUAUCAUUUAUUCAAAGUUUGAAUUUAAUGAAUCUAAUACCAUAUAUUCAAUGAUUAACGAUUAGCAGGAAAUAAUUGACUGUUCUCGAAUACAACGAAUAAACUGUGGCAACUUUCAUAGACAUUUUCAAAUUGCAUUCAAACUGUGCCAAUAUAAUCGCGACAGUCGACUCUGAUUACGAUGUUAAUGAAACUUCAAAAAGUUUCAUCCAACGCGCGUCAUACAUUCGUCAAAAUUUCCUUUGUUAAGUGUCCCAAUACUUUCGUCAGUCACUGUAAUUAUGCAUGAUGUAACGGUACCUGUGAAAUCUGUGAUCGAGAAUCGUCUAGGAGCGUGAUCGUUCAAGUUGAAUAUUUUACUUUCGACCAAUAAAAAUACUGGAAUAUUACGAAAAGGGUGGACGGGACACCGAUGUUUUCGAUUUCAUAAGAUUCCACGUGCGAUGGCGAGGCGGCGGAACGAGUGCACCUAUGCGUGGGUGCGAUUGCGCAAUACAAUUCGAAAUUCAAAUUUCGCUUCCACGAAGCCCGAGGAUCGAACAGGCGAGACCAAAUCUUCCUCUCUUACCGGAUUCCAGGUAUAUUCCUUAUCUCGAUAGUUGUCUGCCUUCGUGAAGGUGGCAGAGGAAGAAAGAUGUAUCCGAGUCAUGUAAAUUGCACCAUUUCCAUUUUUUCCUUCUUGUCUACGUGUUCUCGCGCUGCCUUCUCACCCUUGACCGAGCUGUAUCACUCUUAACAUUUCUCUCUCACUGUUAUUUUCGCAUGUUUCAAUUCCAAUCGGAGAAAUAAUUCGGCAAACGUGGGCGACGCAAGCAUGUCCAUAGUUUUUCCCCGAAUCGUGACCAGUCGUUUGACAUCAGGAUAUCGAGGAAAUCUGACCAGUCGUUUGACGCCAACGUAUCAAGAAAAUCUGGCAACUGGUCGAAAUCCUAACAGAGUUUGUGUUCGUGGAGAAAGUCAUCGAACCUACAUCACAUUCUGUCUAGCGCACAGCCCGGCUACUAUUAUCGAUGUUUUUCUGCGUCAAUCGAACAAUCGAUGAUUCUCCCGAACUGGCGUAAAAACAUAUAAGUUACAAGAAUUACACGAAUUGCGCAGAAAUAGAUUCUGAUAAUUGUACUGCGAAUUGUAUUUUUAUAUCUUGAUCUUUCUCUUGUUUCAUCAAGCAAGAAGAUAUCUAAGAAAUAGUUCAUACUUUUCCAUAAUUUCCUGAAGUGUAACCUUCUAAUCUACAAACUUCCUAUCAAUUAAGCGAAGAUGAUUAAAUUCUCUUAUCACAAAAAUAUGAAAAUGAAGUUGAGAAUAUCAUAUACAUAUCUUUCAUAAAGUAUAUACAUAUUUAUUUUAAAAUAAGUUUAGAACUAGGCUAAAGCAAGUGACUAAAACUCAUACGCAUUUAGACUCAAAUGGUUAAGAAAUUUGUUAAGAAUAAGAAAACACGAUUGGGUCUAAAAUGACUAAAACGACGCAGCAAGUUUAAUUACAUUUGAUGCUUCCCGAAUAGUAAACUUUCCUAAGAACUGAAGCUACCCCAAACCCAUCGCUCUUUUACAAACUCGCUAAACUGAAAUUUCUACUGACUUCAAAAAGCACCCAGUUACGAAUGGAUGUUUCCUAGGAUGUUAAUCGAACGAUCCAGAUUAAUACGACACGGGGUGUCCACGGGCCAGUUCCGAAAGGGUUCCGCUCUAUCCCUCAUCCCUAUCCGCGACGCGAGGGGCCUGACAAGGCCGACAGAUAAGUGUUACGAUUGCAAACAACAGUUUGAUGGCGAGGCAAGGCCCCGCGUUAUUUAUUUUGGUACGUCUAGACGCCAGAUUGUCUGUCCGUACGUCCGAAUCGCGACGGAGGAUUCGGAGGUGACGUCAGACGUGACUGUAUUGCAUCGUCGCGUCGGAGAGAUUCGACGAUUCGGCUUGUCUCUCUUUGCCGGAUCAAAUUGCAUUCUCUCUCUCUUUCACCCGACGUCUGCCACCUAACUUCUCUGUUGUCUGCCAGUAUCGUGUGGCCUCCCUCUUUUUGUACAUUUAAAUGCGUGCACGUGUCUGCGUGUGCGCAGCGACCUGCGAUUAUAUGCACCCGUGAUCCAAACGCAUCGGUCAACACAACGGCUAUAGUCGCUCGCUGUAGCUCCGGGGGUGAAUAAAGUAUCCCUCGCAUUUUCUUUCUCUUUUCGUGACCCUGUCCAUUUGUUUACGAUCGAGGUGAUCCUGCCUCUGCCACAUAUCGAUUCGAUUCCAGAAAGAUCGCAUACAUCCGGAUAAAUUUACCCUUUUGGUAGACUGGUCCGAACGCACGAUGCGUUCAACGAAAAUUUGAUUCAGAAUUUUCCAGGCAUCUUCCGAUGUGAAGGUGUGUGGGAGGAGAAGGAGGAGGAGGUGUAGUCUAGCAAAGUUUAUCCUGGACGAUGGCUACCUGCCAAGAGAAAUCAAUCAUUAAUAAAGAGGCUUUCUUGUUGCAACACAUCUUCAACUCGCUUUAGACAAACCGAGGGAUAACCGAGGAUAACCUAAGAUACAGAAUAGAAUCUAAAUUUAUCUUAAUUCUGAGAAAGAUUUAGCAUGAAAAUUUAUUCCAUAUUAUUCUAGCAUUCUUGUUAAAAGAUACAUUUCUUCUGUUGCAACAUACCUUCAACUUGUUACAGGGAUAAUCGAGGAUAAUCUGAAAUACAAAAUAGAAUGUAAAAUCCGAACUUUUAGCAACUUCUUUAUCGUUCUAUCAUUCUUAUUCAGAAAUAUGUUGUUAGUUAACCCCACCUAGUCUGAGAAUAGAUAUGAACGACUGUUACGAAGAAUUUUAGAGGCGAACCAUUUCCGAUAAAUCUCGCCCUGGCGCACUAUAACAUAUCGCAAAUGAUUUAUUUCAGAAAGCAGACGGUCGCCUGGCCGAUGUCUGUCCAGCAGAGAGACAGUCGCAGCAGACAGGUUCAAAGAACCGAAUCCUUUAACCUAAUUUUCAGAUUCGGUCGCGUCACCAUAAUUUACGUCGUUCGUCCAAAAAAACAAAAGAUUCACGACCUUUCUAAUCUUUCUCGUUUGCAGCCAAAUUUAUGGAUUUUCACACGGAUCCCGGCGACCGAUUCGAUCACGAGCACGGGUUUAUUUUUCGUCCCGCUCUGUCUCUCCCGGUCUCUCUCAGUCUGCGCUUGUUUUUUCCCCCUUUCCUCGUUCCCGUUCUUCUUUUUGGGCCCCGUCGUCGACGUGCUUUGCCACGUAUUUUCACGCACGCACGCGGAGGCUGCAUUUAUUAAAAGCGAUACAUUAUGAUUCAAAGAUCAUAUCUUGGGAUUCGUCUAGACGGUGGAGAGGGAGACACCCUAUAAAGUCGUACGUGGCUGCCCCUGAAACAAGCAACCGAAUACAAGGUGCCUUCUCGUUCAUUUCUUCUCGCCUCCGAGCCACCGUUUUUCGUUUCCUUCUUUUCUCCCGCGAGCCCCUUCGUCACGCCAGUCCGCGUUCCUCUCGAACACGUGAAAACGUCUCCCUUCUCUUCCCAGACCACGAACAAAUCGUUUCAUCGGACGAAAAUUCUUCUGAAAAUGUCACAUGGGGCGAAUUCACGUUCCUAAAUCUGUCAUGAUAUACUGAUCCUGGAUCCUCGUCUGCAUCUGGAGAAAAAUUAUUCUAAGUAGUAUCGGUCUGCAUCUUAUCGAAUAGAAGAUUGCCAUUACCAAAAAGUGGGCCAGUCAGAUACCUAUCUUGAUAUUUCGAAAAGAGAAAGGGGCGGACAAGAGAGAGAAGAAUCGUUGGAAAAAGGGAAAAAUCGAGCAGGCGAAGAAGAAGAAGAAGAUGCGAGCGCGAUAAAGCGUUACGGAGAUCGAGAAAAGGCAGUCGACCGCGGGAUUUGGGCGAGCGAGGGAAAGGGAUUACCACACGCGCGCGGCGGGUGGAGCGAGAGGAACAGACGCACGGAGAGAAAGAGAAAGGAGACGAAGGAGAAGAAGAAAAAAGCGAGUGAUCGUAGUAACACCGGCGCGUCUCCUCUCGCGGCUUCGUGCUUGUCUCGGAAUUAGUGAGUAGACAGAAUUAUGUCCGUGAGCAGACCAGCUCGGCUCAGUUGAGACUUACUGCUCAGCCCGUGCACACGUAUGCUACGAAUCUUUCCUACUUACAAAUAUACCGUGGCUUCCUGAUGCGAUUAGACUAGUCCGCGAUCACCCGCCACAGAGAAUCACGGACCAGUUUAUUUAACACUUCUUCGUAACGCGGAUACACUGUCAGCGUCUUCCGUCAACGUUUGUCGAUCCGUUCUCUGGGUCACUCGCUUCGACGAGAAGAGCCACGCGGUUUUCAGCGAACCUACCUCGUCACGACGAUUGCUCACCUUUCGGGGGUUGUGAAUUCCCUCAUGCGAUAAAAAUGAAAGACUCCAUUCAACGAUAACAGUGGCUACAUUACCGUAUCAAUGAACGAAGUGGUGCCAUUUUCUGCCUUUGUACGAUCCUGACAGAGAAAAAGGGACAAAACAAAGUGAGAAUUUCUCAGUCCGAGAAGAAGAGUUUGAUGGUGGUCGUCAUGGAAUUCUCUGGGUUCUUCGUAUUGCUGUUGGUCGUCUCGAUUGCAAACAGUGUCUCGGGCCACCAUCAUCACCGCAGUGUACACGCGGACGACAAGAAGAAGGAAGAUCUGAUGGACCACGUGAAAAGGUACGCGGCCAGUGACAACGAGAACGUGGUGCUCUCCGAGGGCGACAAGAGCAGGAGUCUGAGGGGCGAAGAAGCUAAAGGCACCGUUCCCUUCAGCGAGAGGAGGCUGGAGAAGAUGCUGGAGAAAGCUAUCCUAAAAAUAAUCACUGGCGAUCUCAGCACGGGUGACAUGUUGCUGUUAAAAAGCCUAAAUUACAGCCUGGAGGAAGUUCUGGCGAUUCGUGAGAGGGAGCUGAACAAGAAGAAAGACGAAGAACUGAGGAAAAAGGAAAAUAUGAAAUCUUGGUCGAAGGUGUUGUACGGAGAUGGAGAAAAGAAAAGUAGAAAUUGGAAUAAAAAUUCCAUGGGCCGUUCGUCUUCGAAGAACCCUGAUUUUGAAAACGUUAAACGAGAAGGUAAAAAGAAUCGUCACGUGGAUAGGUCACCUUCUUACAAAGAUUUCGACUUUGAGGCGUAUAAUCGACAGGCGAUUCUCGAUUAUGAGAACUUACCCUCCAACUUAGAAUUUCAGCAAUCCUGGUCAGAACCCACGGUUGUCGACUACGAAGAAGCUACCAAAGCUUCCAAGGAACAGGACGUCGCAAAUAAUCUUCAUCGUGACUUUGACAGAGCUAUGGAGCCUCACGUGGUCUUUAAGAUCCGAUACGAUGACUCUGAGUUCGAUUCCAGCUCAGGUUCCGACGAAAAUAACAAAAAUCAUCUUAGAAUGCCUAAACAUCACGUUUCGAUGAUGAGACAUACAACUUCGAGGAAUACUGGCAAUUCCUUUCAUGCAUCCACAUUGUCACCGCUCUCUUCAACUACUGCUACUACUGUGCCUUUGGUUUAUCAAUUGAGCAGCACCAACGUAAAGGGUAACUAUCUAAACAACGAUCCUAUAGCAACCACACUUUCAACAUCGAGUACCGUCAGUACCACCAAGAGUACCAUUUCAGAUAAAAUUUCGGAGGACAAAAAUGGUACAGAUAUCGUCGUUCAUGUUACUAAUUUUACUGAUAAAAUAGAAGCUUCAAAAAGUGUAGAGAAACUUAGUGAGAAUAAAAGGAUCAGUGAAUACGAAGGACUCGAAUGGGUCGAGGAUGACGUUUACAGAGUUAUCCCUGAAUUCGUGGAUUCCCUUGGUUUCGAGAAUACCGAGGAUAAUGAGACAUCUGACUAUGAAGACUCUACUCACGAUUCCCGACUAAAUUGGAAUCCGGAGGAUAACGAAAAUGAUACAUUAGGCUAUCUAAACGACACUCCUGAUUCUGUCAAGCUCUUCAUGGCCAACAAUAACGUAUCCGCCGGCAGCCUUCCCUUAGCCAAUCUGUCGUCCUACCUGCAACUAGCCAUUGCUCAUCGACGAGGAGGAAACCUAACCUCAAGCUUCGACAGCCAGGGUGAAAAAGCCAUCGAGGACAUCAAGACGCGGGUUCUGGCUCUCACCGGAAGAUUCAACCUCAGCACCGACGCCAACCAAGUUCAACGCGAACGACUCACCAUGUUUUCACCGACUUGUCAAAUUCCACGAAACACGGAUCAGGAUGCCUGGACGGACUCAUUCUCUAUGAAUAUGCACUUUCAAUUGAAUUUGACUUCCAGCGAUCACGUGGUCGCCGCUAAAUUAAGAAUAUUCAAAUUACCACAAGAAAACACGACAUCUUCUUCAGAAAGCACAUUCGACGAGGAGGAGGAAGACGAGAAGAAGAUCAGGAUAUCGGUCUACUAUUACACGAAAACUUUGAAGAGGCAUCGAUCGAAGAAACGCCUGAUGGAUUCGGUAGUGACUCCUCUCACAUCCAGAGGUACCCAUUUGGCGUUGGAUGUGAGACAAAGCCUUCGAUUCUGGAGACUGAACCAACGGAAUUCUCAUGGAAACGGAAGUAACCAUGGGCUGGUAAUACAAGUUGAAGAUCAAGAUGGCAGGCCGCUGAAACCGGCUCUAUAUAUUCAACAACCGUCUUGCGCGGAUCAGGAUUCAGAUCAGAAGGCAUACCAGCGAGUACCUGCACUCUUCGUACGAGCCUGUACUCGUUACGUUCGCAUCGUAAAUGGAAAAACGGAGACGUACGUCAACUGCAGGCAUUAGAGUGGAAGAGAAAAACACUUACAUGCUGUGAGAAAAUAGACAAUCAUUCACGUUGCACUUUAUCCUUGGAAAAAACAAGGAUUAUUUUUACGAAGACCAUAGAACAUAAUCCUUGAACUGUUGCUCGAUUCAAACACAUACCAACAAUAAGUGUGAAAUACACUUUUGUAGAAAGAAUAGUCAUUAUUAAGGUGUGACGUGUUUGUAUCGAUUAUCGAUCAUAACUACAUACUUUAUAAAUUCGUUAACAAAAUGGAAAAACAAAUUUUUCCAUUGCUAUGCAAUGCAUAUGCAAUUAUUCUUGCAUAAAUGAAUGCGUUAAAUUCAUUAAUGUAAUCAAAAAAAUUUUAAUAUUUUUUAUACAAAAAUCAUACUGACGACAUUCUGGGGUUUUUUUUUUUAUUGUUCUAAGCGCGCGCAAUACAAAACGCAGACAGAUGCGCCGUCAUAAUUGUAAUUAGUUUCGUAGCAGUAACGAAGUAAAAAAUGCGCGAAAAUUGCAUUAGUGGUGAACUGGUGAGAGAGUGAAUAUAAUCCCAGUAAAAGUUUUUUUAUAGACUGCUUUUUAAUUUAAACAAGAUGUUAACUUAAAAAUGGAAUGCCGUGUUAUUUAAGUGCAGUAGUGGAUGAAUUGGACUUUUAUACCUAAUGAAUAUUGUCAAUCUAUAAAGAUACGAUUAUGUGCGCCCCCCACCAAUGGCUGUAGAACAUGGGAACACCCACUUUUCCGUGUUUCCCUGAACAACAACCCUAAGGAACGUUUCGACUUGAAAGCUGUUCAAUAACAAUUAAGGGCCUUGACAGUAAGGUAGAGAAUGCUAAAUUUUGUAACGAUUUUUUGUGAUUAUUGCGUGUCCGAAUAAGUAUGACUGAGGGAUGGAUUAUGAUUUAUGAUAAGACGUAACAACAUAGAACAGUUAUUUAGCAACGCGAAGAAACAAUAUGAGGUAAUUGAUAAUCGCAAAAAAUAACUGAAUCGAGCGAAAUUGCACUAUGGGGGGGGGGGUCACUGAUGAUAUCAAUGAAAUAAAUUCAUUAAUGAUGAUUAUACACCGUAACAUAUUUUUUGCAGGUAAUAUUUCAACGUUAUAUGUAUCGCAUGAUAAAAAAUUGUCACGGCCAAACCUUGCAAAACUGGCGUGACAUUCAACAUGUUAAUGGAUCGAUAAAUGAUAAGUUGUAGAUUAUGGAUUUUUACCGAACAAUUUUACUAUUUUAGAUAAUUAAACAAAUUGUGAUUUGUAAAAUUGGCGCGUAGAAUUUACACGCUUUAUUAUUAUGCAAAACAAUCUAUCAACACUGAGAAUUUGUAACUUGCGUCAAAUUGCGUUAAGCACAAAGGAUAUAACCUAACAAACACGAAGAUGCUAUGUAUAUUUAAGCUACAAUAUUUUACCAAAUGUCCUACUGGACAAAUUGUAAAAUUUAAAUAAAUAAUAAAAAAAAGAAAAUUGCGUUAAUAUUGAACUGAUAACAGUAUCAAUUCAAUUGUGCAAGAACACCUAGAAAGGUGGAGCAUAGCGCCAGAAAAUAAAUAAUAUAUUAUUCCUCAAUAAAAUUGACAAAAUUUGUACAUUUUAAAGUUACAUAUUAUAUUAUUUAUGGAAUGAUCUAAUACAUAUUUUCGAAAUUUAUAUGU